GAGGCUCAGAUGAUUGACAGGACAUCGGAGACUCGGCUAACUGCCAUAGUUACGGGUGAAGACUGGCCUGUUAAUAGUGUGAAAACCGUCUACCGAAGUGGAACUCUAAUAAAAUGGAACCGUGAAGAAAGAGCCUUCCUGUGCAUGCUCCUUAACAAGAACUGCCAUGCAAGAUUUCCUAAGAGCUUUCCAGGGAAGGCUUCUCUGUUUGCUGUCUCCUACCUGCACAGGCUGACAUUCUCACGAACGGUGGUGUGUAAGAGAGUCAGUUUCUGCAUAUCCUCACCAACGCUGCAGCCUCACCAACACUGCAUUCUUACCAACACUAGCCAUUGUACUUUUUGUUUGUUCGUUUGUUUGUUUUGUUUUUUUGAGACAGGCCUUCUCUGUGUAGCCCUGGCUGUCCUGGAACUCGUUUGUAGAUCAGGCUGGCCUUGAACUCAAGAGAUCUGCCUGCCUCUGCCUCCUAGCUCUGGGACUAAAGGUGUGCGCCACCACCUUCUGACAUGUCCUUGUACUUUUGAUUUGUAUCUUCUUUAAUAAUUAAAAUGCUUUUGCUCACUGAUACAA
rnacentral:lncRNA from 1 species